UACGUAGGGGGCAAGCGUUAUCCGGAUUUACUGGGUGUAAAGGGAGCGUAGACGGCUUUGCAAGCCAGAUGUGAAAGCCCGGGGCUCAACCCCGGGACUGCAUUUGGAACUGUGUGGCUAGAGUGUCGGAGAGGCAGGCGGAAUUCCUAGUGUAGCGGUGAAAUGCGUAGAUAUUAGGAGGAACACCAGUGGCAAAGGCGGCCUGCUGGACGAUGACUGACGUUGAGGCUCGAAAGCGUGGGGAGCAAACAGG
rnacentral:rRNA from 1 species